UCGGGUGGGAGGCACCUGGUUCAUGUUGCAAACUAAUCUCAGCUCAAGUUCAGCAGUUCAGAAGGCGGAAGGGAAGAAAGCGGGCAUUAGCUAAACUCCUCUUGGUUCCUGGCAUGGAUAUGUUUCCCACACAAUGCCAAGCAUGCUUCCUGAGACCCUUAUGAAGAGUUUCUUCCCCUCGGUCUGCAGAUAAGAACACAGAGGACCCGAGGUGAAGAGGACUUGUUCAAGGACCAGAUUUAUUGCUCAUGGGUAUCAGAAUCAGCUCAUUUUGACACCAAACCCUGGCAUCUACAGAUUGCAAGUAACGCAUUUCUGCUUCUUGGGGAAGCUCAGACAGCUUCUCAUGGUGGGGCGAUCAGAACAUGACAACCCAUCUGUUCGGGGGAGAUCACUUCAUUUAAGGGCAUGGUAGUCUUGGACCGAGAGAUCUGCAGAUGAGGGGGGAUCACAGAAGAACACCUUGAGUGCGUCAAUGGGAUGUCCAGGUAGUCCUGAGAUGCUUCUGCUAAUGGUAAUCUUCUCCCCCUCCUCCUCCUCCCCCCUCUCGUUCUCCUCUUCCCUCCCCACCUCCUCCCUCCUCCUCCUUUCUCCUUUUUCAAUUGACCCUUGCUGAAUAUAUUGUAAAAUUAUGAGUUUAUUCCUUUGUCUUAACGGGAAGAGAUUCUUGUGAACAUCCCAAAUAUGUUUGCAUAUUUGUCCAGAGUUUGAGGUCAUUAUUCAGCACAUAACCCUUAGGGCCAGGACUGCAGGUGUAAACAGAGAAAAAAUAUCAGAGCGCACAGACUGAGGAGCCCUUGGCGUGACUGGAUCCGAUGGGUCUCCAGCUGUGUCCACGAUCCACGGAGGGGAUCUUAAGCUGCUGUAGCAGGUAAAGGAGGUCCAAGGGUCCCCUUCCCCUGCAUUGAGGAUAUCUUUUUUUUAUACCAGGGUUGUCUCAGCCAGAAAAUGUUGCUUGCAAGGAACAGAAACAGUUCACAGUUAAAAAAGUAAGGAGGGCAAAUGGAAUUCAAUGGAAAAAUGUAGGUUCAUUCUACAUAAAUGAAAGGAAAGCUCAACAACAACAAUAAUAAACAUAUAUUGAGCACCUACUAUCUGUCUGUCACUAUUCAAGAGCUUUACAUUAACGUAUGUAAGCUUUAGAACAAUACUAAAUAUGAAAGUGGACACUAUUAUAAUGCUGAUUUUAUAGCUCAGAAAACUGAGAUUCAGAGAGGUUAAGUAAUAAACCCAAGGUCACACAGCUAGGUAACAUCUUAGCCACGAUGUGAACACACAAAAUCUGGUUUCUGAGUCAAUGCUUUUGACCCCUAUGCUGAAAAACAAGAAGCAGGAAGGUAACGUCUAGUGCUCUAGGUGGAGAGAAGCAAAGAAUGAUCUCUUCAGGGACGUGGCAUGCAUGACAGGCUUAGUGUGGGAUGCCUGCCACCUUGUAACUGAGGAAGGGGAGGGUCUCAUGGCUGGAAGCUCCCCCAAACUACUUGGAAUGGGGGAGAGCCAUUUCUCAGAACAAAGGCCAACAGGGGGUUCCACAGAAGAUUAAGUGUGAAGCAAUAAACAACAACAAAAAAGAGUUCAACUACAAAAAGAAAAAAAAAAGAAA